GUGGCUGUCGUUUAGUGAUAAGAAUUCCACGUUGUGGCCCUGGGGACUUGGGCUCGUAUCCCAGCAGCCACA
rnacentral:tRNA from 1 species